rnacentral:lncRNA from 1 species
AUGGUCCUUUCCCGUGUCCUCCCCUUGUGUCCCCGUGUCACACCGCGCAUCCCUACAGCCGUGUCACACCGUGUCUGUGAUGUCCCCACGCCCCCCGUGCCGGCGUCCCUGCGUGUCCCCAAACCUUCGUUCCACGCUGUGCCCCCCUGUCCGUGUCCCCCCACGUUCCCUCCUCUCCGUGUCCCACGUUGUGUCCCCGCAUUCCGCGUCCCCCCGUGUCCGCGUCGCUGCCACCCGCGUCCCUUUCCCCUCGUCCCCGUGUCCCUGCUUAUCCCCGCGUCUCCCCGUCCCCACGUCCACGUCCCUGAGUCCCUCUGUCGUCGUCCCGAUGUCCCCAUAGCCUCACGUCCCCCCGUCCCCAUCUCCAUCUCCAUCUCCAUCCCCAUCCCAUCCCCAUCCCCAUCCCACCCCAACGUUCCCCCGUUCCCAUCCCCAUCCCCAUCCCCAUUCUAUCCCAAUCCCAAUCUCCGUCCCCGUCCCCGACCCCAUCCCAUCCCUAUCCCUAUCCCCAUCCCCAUCCCUAGUCCCCGUCCCCCCAUCCCGUCCCCGUCCCCAUUCCCCAUCCCAUCCCCGUCCCCGUCCCCGUCCCCGUCCCGACGCCCCCGCCUCCCGUCCCAUUUCGUAGAGAUCUGUUCCCGCUCCGUCCCGUCCCCGGCCCCCCUCUUUUCCUCCCCGCCCCCUCCCCGUCCCCACCCCCCCGUCCCCGUAUCCCCACCCCGGGGCGUUCUCUCCGCGGCACUCCGCCGUGGCGGGGCCGUGCCCGGUUGGGGCCGCAGCCGCCGCGGGCCCGUCCCGCGCCGCGUGGCUCCGGUGGUUCCGCGGGACGAUGUUCGACUGCGUGGAGGCGCUGCCGGUCCCGCGGCGGCUGCACGACGUGACCAACCGCGGGGCCUGCACGCCGCGCAAAGCGGGCUGCGCGCCGGGCUGCGCGCCGCGCUACGGGCCGCGCUGCGGGGCUCUGCCGUGCGCCUGGACCGGAACCGUCACGCACGGUGCGAACCGGGAACGGGACGGGACGGGACGGGGCGGGACGGGGAGGGGGGCAGAGCGGGGAGCGGAGCGGCGGAGAUGGAUGGGGCCGGGUCGGGACCCGACGGGAGGGACGGGGCGGAGGGAGCUGCGAUGGAGGGGGGCGGCCGCGGGGUUCGGGGCUGA